ACAAGGAAGAAGAUCUUGGCUUGGGCCCCGCCCCCAUCAUCUGGGACAAACUACUCUGUGUUGCAGACCCCCAGUGCCACAGAACCGGCAUUUUCCUGACAUAGCUUCCUAUUCUAGAGACAUAAAAAGCCCCCCAGCCAUGCAGAGUGUGGGCCUCUCAGACUUAGUGGGUGCCUAAGACCACAUGAGUCAUCAUAUCCUGAAGACAUACUGAUCAGACUGUGUGAGGAGGCGAGGAAGACUGCAUCUAACAAGCUGAAGAUAAAUGCCAUUGUAUGUAUCUCUGCUGUGUUUGGGCAAUGCAAGCCUCUGUUAUUAAAUGCUCAAUGACUUAA